rnacentral:lncRNA from 1 species
UACAAACUGUGCUGCAAGUCCAUUCUGAAUAGCAAACCCGAUUCUCCUAAAUACAUAUUCGUUUGAACCCAUAAUCAUCACGUUGUUAUCCAUUACAACAUGAUGGAUAGCAAUACUGCGAGAAAUUGUUGCCUAGUUCACCAACCUGAUUAAUUCCCUACAAAAUCCGACUACUUGAAUGAUUAUAUAGAAUGAUGAAGGAUAAACCAAGUGCAAAAAUGUCACAUCAAGAUAGCAUUAGGGAUUUACAGUUCCAUAACAAAACUACCAAAUAAGUAACCAUAAUAUGUGUUGGCCAUGUCCUUCGCUUGCCACUUGGCUUUACCCCUCCUGUAUGUCAUUAAAAACUAAGAAAAUCGUUAACAACAUGAAUUAGAUUUACCUAUCUUCUUCGUCACUUCACGGUCCUUUAACUCCAAUAGAGAUGUGCCGUUUUUCUAAGUUUGUCACACUUUUCCGAUGAAUUGUUUGUUUGCAGUUAUGCAUGGAUAAUAAUUGUUGGAGAAAUUUAGAACCAUGCAUUUGAAUCUGAUCUUGCGUUAUUGCCUUAUUUUCAGUACUUUGCAGAGAAUUCGAGUAACUUUCAUUUGAAAUGCAUCCAUGUCGCCUUUUCUGACAACUAAUAUUGAACCAACUACAUCACAGUUAGAAUUUCCUUACACGAAUAUAUUGAAUAAAACAAAAGAUGAAACUGAUAUAACAUAAUCAAAAUUCGAUAUUACCAUUUAAAUGAUACUGAUCAAAGUAUCGAAAAGUUUUGAGCGAUUACUCUUUGUGACGACUCAUUUUCAUUGAAAAAAACUUGCCACCAACCAUGUAUUGGGAUCAGACCUGUGACCUUAGUGUUUUGAAGUAAAAUGUUGCACAACCAUCUUCAUCUAUCGAAAGAGAGAUAACUCAUAAGAAAUAGAAAAUGAAUCUUUCACUUUAAUAAAUAUGUAUACAUAUCGCAAGAAUACAAGUAAAAUAGUAAUUAAUACAUAAAUAAAGAUAAUUUUAAGACUGGUGACCAAAUUGAUACAAUAAAAACUACCAAAUUAUCGCACUUUACUUUAAAGCCAAACAAACAUGGCAAGUGAAAAUGGUUAAGAAUAAUAUAGCAAAGUGACUUUAGUAUUAAAUAUUAAUAGUUCUACAAAUUACCUCUUCCGUUUUCGGUUGGUGCUGCAUAUUCGUUCUUGUAGUCCUGCUCCACUAUGUAUUUUUUUUUCCAUCGUCAUCUACAAUUCAUUGUCCCAUUUAAAGACGAUUACGAAUGGUUUUGCAUUAAAUCUAUUUUUUAUUUACUUUUCAGAUCUCUUGUUGAUUAUUUGAUAAUCUCGUGUUAUGGUGCUCACUUCAAUCUUCUGUUAUGGCGUAUUUGAAUGGAGAAUAAUAGAUAAAUCUCAAAUUAAAAUAAAUAUAGGUGACUAAGAAUAUAAAAUAAAAUGUAUUUGACUAAAGAAAAAAAACAAUAAAUAUUAGAAUUCGAUGAUACCAAGUCUAUUUAUUAUAUUUGAGAAGAUAUAUAUAUAUAUAUAUAUACUCAAAAACAAUUAUAAUUACUAGAGAGAUGAAGAUCUAUAUUAGACACAAUAGAGAAGCAUUGUGGGAUGAUAAUCCUACAAGAUAGAGGUACAAGAAAAGAAAUAAAGUGCAAUUGAUAUCGAAUCUAAAAUUUUUAUAUCAUAUCUAACUCUGAAUCCGAAUGAUAUCUUAAAAUAAAAUUCGAAUUUGAUUCCAACAAACCUACAUAUCGGUUAUCGAAUAAAUACCCGAUCCAAAUAAUUUUCUUCACAUUCAGAAACCUAAGUUGAAAUCUUUUUACUAACAAUUGCAGUUGACUAAUUUAUACAAUAAUAUUAAAUGUUAAAACAAUGAAAUAAUUGUUUCUGGGUAAGGGUUAUAUUAGUAUGGUUCAAAUACAAAUCUUAAGAAAACUAUUUAUAUAUUACUUUGGUUUCGUAUAUUAUCCAAAAAAAUAUGCUACCAUCUGAAGUUCCGAAUCUAAUAUCUUAUUAAACAAGAAAAAAAAAACAUAUCUGAUAUUUUAAAACUUUCGGAUAUUAUUCGAUGUUUCGAAUUCAGAUUCAUAUCAGAUUUGGAUUUUCGAAUACUUAUUGACACCCUAUUUUCAACACGUGCCCAUUAUAAAUUAUCUCACGUAAUAUAUUUCUUUUUAGCAAUAAAAUGAUCAACAUGUCAUACAAAAUGAGUUUCUUAAAUCCUAACAUCCAAAAAUUUGAAAUUCUAUAGAAAUACCAUCCAAAUGAUGUUGGUUGAGAAAACAAUUGGUUGAGAAAACAACAAUUCCUUCAAAAAUCAAAUUUUAUUCCAAUUAUACAAGAAUUAAACUACUAGCUUUUAAUCCUCCAUCCCUUAUUAAGUUAGUAUGGGAUAGGAAGAAUAAUCAUCAAAAAUAUACUAUAUGUACUUAAACCUAAUCCCAACAGCAAAAAGUGAGCCCUUUCAUUUUAAAUCACCUAAACAUCUAUAUCCAAAGCAAGAAAACUAUUGAUUUGCAUAUUAAAUUUACUUUCCACCAUAACAAUUAUGAUGUGAUUUGAUUUAUACACCCUUCAAUUGAAUAACUUUAAGUACACAACUGAAACUUCUUAGUUAAAUAUCUCAAAGAGAAAAAAAAAUUGAACAAAAAAUAAAAUACAUACAAGAACAACAAUCCAUUACAAAAUAAUCCACUUAUAUAUAAAUCUGCAAUUUUCUCUAGAAUAUCAAACAAAUAAAAAUAGAAAGAGUUCAUAUAUAUAUACUUAGAUUACUAACCAUCUCGAUUAUUGAUGUAAUGCCCUUUCUAUUUUGACUUGAACUUCUUCUUCUCUUUUUAGAUCUAUUCCGAUCUAAUCUUAAGAACACUGCAACCAAAUUUCAGAAAAUUAUAUUCCAAAUGAGCUAUUACAAAAUAAUUCACUUAUAAAUCUGCAAUUUUAUGUAGCAUAUCAAACAAAUAAAAAUAAAAAAGUUCAUAAAUAUACCUAGAUUACUGCAAUCUCGAUUCUUGAUAUAAUACCCUUUCUAUCUUGACUUGAACUUCUUCUGUGAUUUUAAGAACACUACAACUAAAUUUCAGAAAAUUAGAUUCCAACAGACAGAGAGAGAGAGAGAGAGAGAGAGAGAGAGAGAGAGAGAGAGAGAGAGAGAGAGAGAGAGAGAGAGAGAGAGAGAGAGAGAGAGAGAGAGAGAGAGAGAGAGAGAGAGAGAGAGAGAGAGAGAGAGAUGUUACUUUAUUGCAGAGAGAAGUAGAAGCUUGGGAAAAAAAUGAAUUGAGUGGUAUGUAUGUCAACCAUAAGAAUAUUUAUAGGCAGUUUGUGUAAACAAGUGACUAACAC